rnacentral:lncRNA from 1 species
CUUGGUUGCGGUGCCGUCGUGCAUGAACCAGUGCCAUAUCAUCGCGUUCGCAGAGGGCGGGGGGUAUGGGAACUCGGAAUUACAUAUUAUCGACUUUCUUCUAUAGACAUUCAAUACACCGGGAGUAGAGAAAAAGAAAUAGAAACCUUGUCGACUAUUGUCCAUAAUAUAGAGAGUCUAUAGACAAAGUAUGGAAAAAAAUAAAUAGAAACUGUAUCGGCUUUCGUCUACAGGUAGUCCAUAUAGAGGGGAAAUAGACAAAGAAGAAACAAACACCUUAUCGAAUUUUUUCUAUAGACCGUCUAUAGACUGCGAGUAGACAAAAAGAAAUUGAAAUCUUAUCGACUUUCGUCUAUAGAAAGUCUAUAUACAAAGUAUAUGGCCAAAAAUAAAUAGACACUGUAUCGACUUUCGUCUAAAAGUAGUCCAUAGAGGGGAAAUAGACAAAAAGAAACAAACACCUUAUCGACUUUUUUCUAUAGACCGUCUAUAGACAGCGAGUAGACAAAAAGAAACAGAAACCUUAUCGACUUUCGUCUAUAGAAAGUCUAUAAACAAAGUAUGGACAAAAAUAGAUAGAGACUGUAUCCACUUUCGUCUAUAGGUAGUCCAUAGAGGGGAAGUAGGCAAAAAAGAAACAAACACCUUAUCGACUUUUUUCUAUAGACCGUCUAUAGACUGCGAGUAGACAAAAA